ACCCUGCUCCUCCACCAGUGACUGCUGCCUCCCUAAUGGUCCCCCCUCCCGACCUUCUACGCUGUGCCCUUCUGACCCCUGCCCUGAUCCCCCCCCUCAGCCCACUCCGUGGUGCCCGCAGAGCCCCUGGAGGGGAGAGGGCCAGCCUUGGGGUGUGGUCCGGGCGGAGUCAAGGGAGCCCGGGAGGUGCAGACAAGCUGGCCGAGGGGCUGGACAUGGACAGCCGGAGGCAUUUGGCUAAUGCCUCGCUGGGGAAGAAGUCGGGGCUGCCGCUGCCCCAAGACCUCGGGCAGCCCCCUCCCCCUGUGAGUGCGACCACGGCUUGGGGCCAGCCCGGCGCCCAGAGCGGAGGGCAACAGGUACUGCAGACUCAGGACUGGGUAAGCGGGACCCCAGAACUGGCUUUGCAGGUGGGUUGGUCGCAGCGUGCGGUAGAAGGGGCUCCUCAAGCCUCACGGAGGGCCGAAUCGCACCUGAUGGGAGGCACACGGUGUCCGCUGGGCGGCCACCACACUGUCUGUUUCUGCCGGGCUUGUCGGAGGGGCCUGCCUCAGUCCGCCCCAGCAUCGCACCCUGGGCCGAGAGGGCGGCCCCCCGACAGCCACCCUGUGACCAGGCAGGCAGGCAGUCAGCGGGGUUUGUCCCCAAACCGUAACCAAAAUGUCGCUGGAGCCUCUGCCUGUGAUGGCCCCAAACUGGAGGCAUCUGUCUGUCCCCGACCUCAUGCCGAGCAGGUGAGCAGCUGCCCGCCAGGUUCCAGGAGCCAUGACGGGGGCCAGGGCGCUGCCGCCCCAGCCCCAGGGGGUGCUUCAGGAGCAGAGGAGCCAGACCCCCGGAGGUUCUGUGUGGCUGCCUGUGCGCCAGGGUCGGACUCAGCAGGGUGCUUCCCGGGUGUGACUGGCUCGGCAGUGUGGUGAGCGGGAGCCUGUCAGGCUGUGCACUUGGGUCUGUGUGCAUGCGCACUUGCUGCGGUCGAAGGUUUACAUGAAGAGUUGGCGGGAGAAGGGAAGCGGGCUCCCAGAGCUGCCGCCGUGGCCCCCACCCGAGUGCCUGUGAGGGUCCUGGGGGGCAGGCAGGCAGACCCCCCUGUGUGGGGCUGACUCUCGGGACGGGCUGUCCGGGGCUUAAACACACAGACGUGUCACUGUCACCAGGAGGGCGUGACUCGGGAGCCUGCGUCCCGAACAGGCAGUGGGGACUUAGGGGCACACUGGCAGCUCUUGGGCAGAGGCCACCGCUCGAGUGUGAGGUUCAGAGAGGUGGGCGGGCAGGGGCCGAGGGGGCAGCAGGGGAGCGGGAAAGAACCGUCCGGCGGGAGGUGGCCAGGGGAGAGGGAGUGGGGCAGAGGCCAGAAGAGGGCACAGAUCCGUCUCUGCAGACCUCCAGUUUUCUGGUUUGGGGGCACUGCCUCCCACGUUGUCCUGCCGCUGCCCUCCUCUGCUUCAGCCCCUGGGCAACGUCAGCUGCCCGCUGUGGUCUUGAGGGGCUGCUCUGUGUCGAUGUCUUGCCGGGUGUCCCUUCUCUUUGUUCCCCCCAGUGUGGAGUGCUCUUCCUCCAGACCUUCCCAUGCCAGCCUCCCAGGGAGCCUCCCACCUGGCAGACGUCAGUCAGCCUCAGCACUCCUCUCAUCCCUGUGUCAUCCCCUCCCGAGCCCCACAGGACCGCCUUCAUCCGCAGGGGUCAGCACGGUCCCUGUUGCCCCACAUGAAGGGCAGGACAGCUAGGGGAAAAAGGACCCAGAAGAGCCCCAGCAAUAGCUGUGUCACCAUCCUCACGGUGACCUGUGCCAUCUUGGGAGAAUUAGUCCUGCAGCCAAACGAGAGGGACGUGAACGCGUCCGAGGUGACACCAGCACCAGGGGCGACGUGGUUGUGCCUGUUCGGUGCGGGGGAACGGACUGGGGCCCAGGCAAGCAGAGAGGACACACACAGCUGUGUGCAGAGCCCGCGUGCUUAUCGACAGGCUGUAGGAGAUGAACGAGUGGAAAAGGAAUACGCUGAACAGGAAACAGGCGAACCUGUUUGAGAGAAGCUUUAAAGCGCCCCAAAGCAUCACCGAGAAACUGACAGCAGGGAGACACCAGCACUGAGAGGCCUCCUUAGACAUUUCACACUUCAGCAUCAUCGGCGAUAAGCGUGCUAAAUGUUUGGGGUGCUGGCUGGCUCAGUCAGUGGAGCGUGCAAGUUUUCAUCUCGGGGUUGUGAGUUCGAGCCCUGUGUUGGGUGUAGAGAUGACUAAAACGGAUAAACUGAAAUAAUGCUAAAUUUUUGCCUGCUCUUUUUCGGUACGUCAAACUGGUCAAAUGGAAAAAUAAGCAAGAGUAGGUUCAGCCCUAGCAGACGUGAAAUCAUAUUGCAAAGUGUUGGUUAUCAAAGCAGUGGGGUCCUGGCGUGUGAUGCAUGGUUAUCAGAACCAACUAGAAAGUCUGGAAAUUGACUCAAAUGCCCACAGACACUUAGUGUAGGGUUAAGAUGGUGUCUCAAAUCGGUGGGGACGAUGGGCUUUACGGUGAAUCACGCUUGGCAGUGGCGUAGCUCUCCAGAAGACAGACAGUUGGAGCCACGCCUCAUCCAACACCAGGGGCGUAGGACGGCCUUUCUAACCUAGCCUCAAAGUCCCGGAGCCGUGAAAGAAACAACGGUUACACGUUACGUGUGGAAAACCGACAAAGCUGAGGGGGGGUAAAAUGCACACCAGGAACAAAGGCAGAGAUGGCUGAUGGAUGAGCCAUGACACUCGGUGAGAAUGGGUGGGGGCGGUCUUGUCCUUGCUCGGCACCAGGAACGCUGGGUUUACACAAGUGAAAGAAUGAACCCAGACUGUCGCCUAACACCACAUGCAAAAGUUAACUCAAAGUGGGUCACACACCUACAACCGCAAAACUCCUAGGAGAAGACGGGAAAGCUUCAUGUGGACUUGGCAGUGAUUUCUUGGAUGCCAGCAGCUCCAGCAACAAAAGUAAAAAUAGCUAAAUUAGGCUUCAUCAAAAUUGAAACCUUUUGGUCAUCAGAGGACACGGAAAAGUCAACCUGUGGAACGGGAGAACAUUUGCAAAGCACACAUCUGAUAAAGGAUGAAUGUCUAGAACGUCCAGAAUGCAUAAUGAACUGCUGAAACUCUAAACGGAGCAACAACCUGAAGCAAAAAUGGGCAGAGGGCCUGGACAUUUCUCCAAAGUUAUACCGAUGGUUAAGAAAGAUGUAAAAAGCGCUCAACAUCAUCAGCCCUGGGCCGGCAGUGGAAAGGAAAACCACAGCACACAGCUCGUCACGCCCGCGAGGAUGGCUACCGCCAGAAGAAAAGAAAGGAGUACUGGCGAGAUCGUGGGGAGAUCGGAGCCCUGUGCAUGCUGGUGGGAGUGUGGAGUGGCACGGCCACCGUGGAAGCGGUGUGGAGUCCCUCACGAGACGAGGCAUAGAACUGCCCUGGAAUCCAGCAAGCCCCCCCUCUGGGCACGAAUCCAAAAGAACCGAGAAGCAGGGACUCUAGCACACCCGUGUUCGCGGCGGCGUGAUUCACACUUGCCACGAGGCGGAAGCAGCCUGGGUGUCCGUCCACGGGUGCAUGCGAGGUAUACUACCACGGAAUGUUACCCAGCCAGAUGUUACCAUGUGGACAAACCAGCAAGACGUUAUGCUUCAGACACGGGAGCACAGACACCGCAUGAUCCACAUGCAGCGGAUUUGAGGUCCCUAGAGCGGUCAGACUCCCGGAGACAGAAAACGGGAUGGGGGUGGGGAGUGAGUGGCGACGGACGGUGCUGGCGGGCGGAAUGUGCUUCACGACGCUGCACCGUGUGCCGUAAAUGAUGUUUGUGUGUCAUUUACCACACAGAAGAAGAAAACGUAGACAGUUAGGAAGAAAGGGGAGCACAGGCAGCUGCUCAAGGCCCCGGAAGGAAGUGCUGGUGAGCAACGUGCAAGUAACCAGCAGGCGGGCGGGAGCUCGAGAGCAGCGUGAGCCUGAUGGAAGUUCUGGAAGGUCUGGAGAGAGACGGAGCGAGGCUGCCUGGAUCUUGGAGCCCCACCAGCUGCCCCUGCGGGGCUGGGGCCAGUCUGCACUGGACACUGAGGUCAGGAGAUAACAGGAGCUGUCCCCGGGCCCUUCCUGCCCUGACUCCCAGCAGCUGGCAGGGGCACCAGGGGCGAGGCCCGAGGGAUGGAGGCCAGACAUCAGCAACCUGCUCGGAAACCCAGUUGUCAGAACAGAGGGCUUCUUGCAGAGACGGGAGCUCCAGAGGCCAGAAAGAAAGGGAAAGGUUGGGGUGUCGGGCUCGUCAGUCAAGCGUCCAACUCUGACAUGCUGCACACAGCAGAGAAUUGCCUUUUCCUCCCGUUGGACUUCAGGGAGUCAACAAGUAACAGCGCCCUCAUCCCUCCCGAAGCCCUGACACAGGGCAAGAGUGGUGCUUGAGAAGGAGACUCCCCUGGGUUGGAGCCCCAGGGCGGCGGGAGCAGCCCAGGAGGAAAGUGGGAGGCAGCAGGUGACCAAGAGCUGACAGAUGUCACAGUCACCUCUCUGCUGACGCCGUGCCCGACAGGCCAUGCCCCUUAUGCCGAGCUGCAAGCAACAGCUGGCGAGGACUCCCGAGGCAUGAGGGCCAGGCGGUUCGGGGAGCAGAAAGCUUCCAAAGUGUUCAAGUGAAACCCUGGGAUCUGGAAGAGAGACAGUCCCUUCCGUAUAACUUGGAAAGGGUUCUGUUUUUUUAUUUUUUUUUUAAUUUUUUUUUAACGUUUAUUUAUUUUUGAGACAGAGAGAGACACAGCAUGAACGGGGGAGGGGCAGAGAGAGAGGGAGACACAGAAUCGGAAACAGGCUCCAGGCUCCGAGCCAUCAGCCCAGAGCCGGACGUGGGGCUCGAACCUGCGGACCGCGAGAUCGUGACCUGAGCUGAAGCCGGACGCUUAACCGACUGAGCCACCCAGGCGCCCCAAGCGUUCUGUUUUUUUAAAAAUACACUUUCAGCAAAUCAUACAGAGCUCUUAAUAAAUAAACAACAGAAUUGAAAUGUUCGGCAGAAGGGUUGGAAUAUGAAAUUGAGGAAAUCGCCUGGAAAAUCAGAGAGAGAGGUGGGAAGCGGGAAAGGAGAGGAGAAGCCGAGGAGCCUUCCAGAAAGACCCGCAUGCAGCUGAAAGGGAGUGAGGGCGGCGGCGGAAAGGGGAAGGGCAGUUAGCGGUGAAACCUCACAGCGUUAUUAAGCAAAGGUGAAAGCUGAUCAUCUGAAUUUGCGUCACCCGAAUUGACUCUUAAAAACCUGAAGACGGCAAAGAGAGUUCUAAAGUUGUCCCAGAAAUGCCCUAAAUGAAGGGCGUAAGGGUGGGCAGUCCCCAGCGAUUAGGAAAUGAGCUCUCCCCGGCGGUGAGGUUGAAAGCGUAGAAGCCACUUGUGCGUACAGAGCAGGCUGCACCCUGACGCCAGUGCCGCGGGAGAGCAGGGCUGGGACUAGGGCAGGCGGGAGCGAUGGGCCCAUCUGACUGUGGCGCAGGUGGAGAGCUCCUGAAUGCCGGGCAGGGAAACCCAGCAGCGUCGGAAAGACCAACUUCGCGACCAUGGUGCCUCCCAGGCUUCCACCCUCCAGGAGACCGGGGACUUUGUGUCCUCACAGCCCUGCGCCCAGUGCCUAGGAUGGUGUGGGGGGAGGGGGGCGGCAGAGUAGGUGCAAGAUGACUACGUGUUGAGUAAAUACAGUUGUGUAUGUACAAAAAAUACCGUACCCCAAGGACAAAGGAAUUUAGAAACCCAUUUGGUAAAAUGGUCUACGUUAAGCGAGAAGGAAGACCGUGUGAUUACUUCAGUAGAUACUGAAAAAUAAAUUCCGGUACGUUUUCUUUAAAAGAAAACAAAUAUGACAAUUAAAAACAAUUUUGUAAAAUUGAAGUGUAAUGAGUACGCGGGGAAAAGCUGCUGAUUCUUAGUAAGGUAAGGAGAGGUGGACAGGUCUAUAACCCGAUAAAGCACGGCUAUCAAGAGCCCUGGGUGGUCUUCACCAGAAGUGUUUCUCACAGGCGCGGGCAGCAGGCAGGAACGCAGGGCAUCACCAUGACGAUGGACACACCGGGAACCCGGCCUGUAUGGAAGUCAGGCAAAUGAAAGCCAUAAAUACCCGAAAAGAAAAGAUGAAACGGUCACUCUUUGCAGCUAAUCCAUUGUCUAUCUAGGAAAUCCGUGCAAGCCCCUUAAGAAAAAAGGCCACUAGUAAAAGAGGAAGCUUGGAUACAUGAUCUCCGUCGAAAACUUAAUGGUUUUUCCACAUACUAAAGAUAACCAACCAGAAAAUGUAAGUGGGAAAAAGGAUGCAUUCCCUUUAACAACAGAAACUGCAAAGUCCCUGAGAACGAGUCUGUUCUUGGGAUGAAUACUGUGGCACGAGACUGAGUAGCACAGAGGAUACCUAACGGGAAGCUUUACCACCUUAUUUGAUGGGAAGAGUUAAUGUUUUGAACCUGCCACGUUCCCCCAAAGUAACUAAUUCAGUGCAAUACUAUGAAAAAAAAAAACAAACAACUUUCCAUGAAUCUUGAAAAUUUUACCCUAAAUGUACCUAUGUUUCCAUUCAUGUUUUAGUUACCUGUUGCUGUGUAACAAGUGUCCCUAAGACUUAGCAGCUUAAAACAACAAUAAACAUGUUUGUCCCGGUUUCUAUAGGUCAGGGACUUGGGAACUGCUUAGCUGCGUGGCUUUGGCUCUGGUUACAGGCAAGACGCCAGAGCCAUAGUCAUCUGAAAGUUGAAUAAGCCUGGAGAAUCCACUUCCACAGUGGCUCAUUCGCAUGGCUGGUGAGUCGGUGCUGGCCGUGGGCAGGAGGUCUCAGCUCCUCGCCAUGUGCCCUCUUCCUGGGGCUGCUCGAGUCCUCGUGUCCCGAGGCUGGCUUCCCCCGGAGUGGAAGGUUCAGGAGAGAACAAGGAGGAAGCUUCGGUGUCUUAGGACUGCCUUGGACUCACACUCCAUCGUGUCUACAACUUCCUAUUGGAUACAAGGUCACCGCUACGUAACGUGGCAGGGAGGACACAGGGCCUGAGCACCGGGGGCACAGAUCUCUGGAUGCCACCGUGGAGGCUGGCUAACACGGGCGGUCUAACGUAGUCACGUGCCCAGCAAACCAAGAGCAGGAGAAGUGAGGGGAGUCUAUACCAAGAACCGCCAUAGUGCGGCUGCAGGGCACCAGGGGCAAAGGUAGGAUGUCAGGAACGAUCAAAGAGGAGACAGAGUCUGGAAGGGAGUGACAGCCUGGCAUUAACAAUAUAGAAGCUUGACUCGGCGGAGCACAUAACCGUCAAUCUGGAAUUUCGUGCCCGGCAAAAGUGGUCUUUUAAGAAGAGGGGAAAAUAAAUAAAUAAAAGGGUAGGCAAAAUAAGAGAAAACAAAUCUGCCCCGGCAGGACCUCACCCCGGUUGCGAAGGACAGAGCUCACAGAGCAGGAAGGUGAUGUCAGACGGGAGGGGGUGCCAAGAAGCAAGAGACUCGGGGUGGGCGGAUGUGCGCCCGUGAUGGCGCGGGUGUCAGGACGGCGUCUGCAAGUGGCGCUGUGUAUUUGAAAGGCCCUCCGCUGUCCCCCCGAGGGGCCAUCCGUUAGCUUAGGGUUCGGUGAGUUUGCGUGUGGGCGGCGAGUACACCGAGGGAGGGACGAGACAAAGCACGAGGUCCCGCGGCAGGUGUAAUCGCCGACGUCGGUCGGGUCGACGGACGCACGGAGACCAGACGCCCCGCUCACAAGGCAGCCAUCGUCAGAUGGAUUAAAAACAACCCGGUCCCUCGAUGUGCGCGUGAAUGCGCACGGAGAGAAACGUGGGAACGUUCCAGCCAAGUGGGAUGGGGACCUCCCACGCACAGUCUCCCAUCUGUUCGCGGCCUGCUUCGGUGCCAAACUGCCUUUCGGCCUGGAGUUAGAGCGGGUGGGUGCCUCUCCACGUGGCAGCAGGGUGACCCGGCAGACGUGCUCGUGAGUGAAGGAAGCAAGUGGUGCCGUAUGUGUGCAGCGUGGCUUCCUUUAUUCGGGGUUCAGAAAUGUGCAUACAUCACUGCAUAGUAAAGAUACUAUUUGAAAAAAUAAAGAUGUUUUUUCGCAAAUUUACUCGGAAAAGAAACCAGACACGAAUUUUGAAACAGAAGAGCAGGCACCGCUUGUCUGCUCUAAGCUGCAGCAAUUAAAGUUGUACGGCGUGGGGGCAGACAGACCGCGCGAGUGGUCCGCGAUCCGGUGCCAGUAGUCUGCAAACGGGCCCCUGUGUAAGUCCGGGGAUUUGAUCUGUGCUUCGCACGGAUUGCAGAACAGCGAGGAAACGGACGUUCCCACCGAUGGCGUCGGGGUAACUGGCUGCCCAUUGAGGAGAUCGUAAGGUAGACUCCUCACGUGUCCUCAAACGCACACCAGGUGUCAGGACCAAACCACGGACGUGCCACGAGGGUGUGUGAGAGCAUUGUCAGAAUCUCACGGAGGGGCGCCUGGGUGGCUCAGUCGGUUGGGUAUCCGACUUCAGCUCGGGUCGUGAUCUCAAGGAUCACGUGAGUUCGAGCCCCGCGUCGGGCUCUGUGCUGACCGCUCAGAGCCUGGAGCCUGCUUCGGAUUCCGUGUUCCCUCCUUCUCUGCCC